rnacentral:rRNA from 1 species
CAAGCCGCCUCGGUAAUACAGAGGGUACAAGCGUUAAUCGGAAUUACUGGGCGUAAAGCGCGCGUAGGUGGUUCGCCAAGUUGGAUGUGAAAUCCCCGGGCUCAACCUGGGAACUGCAUCCAAAACUGGCGAGCUAGAGUAUGGUAGAGGGUGGUGGAAUUUCCUGUGUAGCGGUGAAAUGCGUAGAUAUAGGAAGGAACACCAGUGGCGAAGGCGACUACCUGGACUGAUACUGACACUGAGGUGCGAAAGCGUGGGGAGCAAACAGGAUUAGAUACCCCGGUAGUCCCUGUCUCUUAUA